UACCCCAGGCAAUAAUAGGCAAAGAGACACCUUGGUGGUGAUGUUCUUCCAUCAGUCGGUGGCAAAGCAAACGGCAGCCCUUUGCUCAUCCUAGCCUGAUGCCUGGCUUGGUGGCCAAAGCUGUCCUAUGCCUAGGACUCAUAA